CAUAACCUUUAGCUAAACCAGUAUUAAAGGCAACGCCUGCCCAGUGAAUAAUUAAACGGCCGCGGUACCCUAACCGUGCAAAGGUAGCGUAAUCAUUUGUCUAUUAAUUGUAGACCUGUAUGAAAGGCAUAAUGAGGGUUUAACUGUCUCUUUUAGUAAAUCAAUUAAACUGAUCUCCUAGUCCAAAAGCUAGGAUACCAACAUAAGACCAGAAGACCCUGUGAAACUUUAACUAAAAUAUUAAAGCCUAUAAUAACUACUUUAGGUUGGGGCGACCUUGGAAAAUAAAAGAACUUCCAUACACAUAUUAUACAAUAAUAUAUCACCGGCUAACAAGCCUACAACGACCCAGCACAGCUGAUAAUUGAACCAAGCUACUCCAGGGAUAACAGCGCUAUCUUCUUCAAGAGCCCAUAUCAAAAAGAAGGUUUACGACCUCGAUGUUGGAUCAGGACAUCCUAAUGGUGCAACCGCUAUUAAGGGUUCGUUUGUUCAACGAUUAAUAG
rnacentral:rRNA from 1 species